UACGUAGGGGGCGAGCGUUGUCCGGAUUUAUUGGGCGUAAAGAGCGUGUAGGCGGCCAGGUAGGUCUGCUGUGAAAACUCGAGGCUCAACCUCGAGACGUCGGCGGAAACCAUCUGGCUAGAGUCCGGAAGAGGCGAGUGGAAUUCCAGGUGUAGCGGUGAAAUGCGUAGAUAUCUGGAGGAACACCGGUGGCGAAGGCGGCAUCCUGGACCGGCAUUGACGCUGAGGCGCGAAAGCCAGGGGAGCAAACGGG
rnacentral:rRNA from 1 species